rnacentral:rRNA from 1 species
CCCUUAGAUGCUCUGGGCCGCACGCGCGCUACACUGACGAAUGCAACGAGCUUAUAACCUUGGCCGAAAGGUCUGGGUAAUCUCCAAAUUUCGUCGUGAUGGGGAUAGAUUAUUGCAAUUAUUAAUCUUCAACGAGGGAUGCCUAGUAAGCGCAAGUCAUCAGCUUGCGUUGAUUACGUCCCUGCCCUUUGUACACACCGCCCGUCGCUCCUACCGAUUGAAUGGUCCGGUGAAGCGUUCGGACCGUGGCCUUUGGACGGUUCGCCGUCUGUUGGCUGCGGGAAGUUCGUUAAACCUUAUCAUUUAGAGGAAGGAGAAGUCGUAACA